CUUUGAGUGAAGGAUCUCGAGGUGAGGUCGUCCUGGAUCGUCUGGGUGGGCCUUAAAUCCCACGGCUGGCGUGUGUCCUUACACAAGGAAAGCCGAGGGAGAUUGGACACAGAGAAGGAGGCCCUGUGAAGAUGGAAGCAGAGACUGGAAGGAUGUGGCCACAAGCCAAGGGUGCCCAGGGCCACUGGAAGCUGGGAGAGGCAGGAAGCAGCCUCUCCUGGAGCCUCCAGAGGGAGCAGAGGGUGAGUCUCCUCCAGGGCGGCUGGAGGCUCUGUGGGGUUUGCACUCGUGGUGGACGGCCACCCCUGCUGGCAGCCUGAUUUCAGACCUCUGACCUCCAGGCCCUGAAAAAAUGCACUUCUAGUGUAAGCUCCCGGCCUGCAGACGUUUGAUGCAGCGGUCACAGGGGAGCAAGGCAGAUGCUGGUCUGGGCGCCUCAAUCACCAUCUCUGGUCCCGUCUGUCUUGCUCCCGAGACCCCAGGGCCUGGUCCUUGGUAGCACAGGGAAAACACCAGAGAAGGGAAUGCAGGAAUGAACGACACGGCAGACCCAAGCACUGGCUGGAGGGCGGUCACCGUCAAAGACAGGGCCCAAGAGUGAGAGUGUGGCCACAGGAGCCGAGAGCUAGGAGGGCCAAGUGUGAAUUGCAAGGGCCGGGGCUGUCCUAUAGCAGGGCUCAGGGCCCCAGCGGAUGCAGCCUGACACUCGUGGUCCAGCUUCCUGAGCACGUUCUUCGAGCCACAUAUUUUGAGGACCUACUGCGUGCUGGCCAGUGCUCGGAGGCUUACGUGGAUCAUGUCUACCUCGGUAGCCCUGUGGGCAGCAUCAGAACCCUGGCUUUGUGGGCGAGUGAAAGUCCAGGCCCACGUGUGGCCGGGAAGUGGCAGGCUUGGGCUUGGACCCCGGACCCCAGACCCACGUCUCUGCCCCUGGAGAGGCCUCCUGCAGUGCCGCAGCUCUGGAGUUGGAUGGAAACUAGAGCAGGGACAGUGUUGCCGCAGCAGAGCGCUGCAGUCCCAGGAGGUGAGAGCCCUGGUAAGCGUGGGCGGUGCAGGAACCCGUCCUGGAAGUGUCCCUACAUACCCGUGUGCCAGUCACUAAACGCCACACAGGCCGCAGGACUCCUUCGGCCCAGGGCCACUGUCCUGCAGUGGUGAGAAGCCUGUCUCCACUUGGUAGGACCGUAAUUAACCAGUCUGGAAGCUUCCGUCAAGCUCUGUAUAGAAUCAGCCCCAGGCAAGGCACCGCACAGUGGCCAUGGGCCUAGCGCACUCCAUGGGCGGAGAAUACACUGACGAUGGCUGAGCCGACAAUGGACUGGGCACAGACUCAGCGUGCCAGGGCCUCCCUGAAGUCCAGACAGAACAACUGGGACGCUGGCUUUGGGGAUCUGAUGAUCAUAGAUCUUUAGCCGCAAAUGUGGGAGGAUACUGGAGUAACUCACAGCUGUCAGUGUGGAAGGAGACAACCCAGAGUGCAGAGGAAAUCAGCAUCUGUACAGAGAGUGGCGGGCACACGGGGCUUCGUGCUCCCCACCUGCUUACCAGGCACUGGGAGCCAUGGGUGGCUCUUGAGCACGAGAGUGGCAGGACAAGCCUCUCGUCUGGGAGCCGAGGCAGGCGCUUGCAGGCACGGGCCAGGUCUUUCAGGAGCAUGAGGAGGUGGGGGCACAGGGCAGUGGGGGGCCAGGGCCUCUCUGUGGGCUUUGGCAUUCCCAUCUGUGCCAUGGGAUGAGCACCCUGCUCUGGGAUGCCAGGCCGGGCAGGGGCUCACUUGGCACUGGGUGGACUCUUGAGAGGAAUGAGCCUGGUGUUGGGCUCUGGCCCUGGCCCCUGACAUUUGCUUCUUGCCUUGGAAUUGGGGGCAGUGGCCUGGCCCACUGGAAUCGUGGUGACAGGGUGGUGGCUCUCCCUUCACCAGAAGUGUGACCUCCAUGGAAAGUCCAGGAAGCAGGGAUGAAGGAGUGCCUCAUUCUCCAUGCUGGACUCAGGCGGACCUGCGGCUCCAAGGGCUCCAUGCUGGACUCAGGAUGACCUGCUGUUCUGAGGGCUCAGCGGCUUCCUCCAGGGCCAUCACUGGGAUGAGAGGACCUGGUGUCAGAGGCCCAGAUGGUGCAAGCCACUCUCCUGGCUCCCCGGCUCCAGCACCUGCUGUGGCUCCCAGAUAGACAGCAGCUACCAUCCCUGCAGCCCUCCUGCAAAACACGGCCAUUCACACUGCAGGGACCCGGAGGGGACAGUGGACCCACAACCUGGCCUGGAGCUCCCGAGGUGGGAAUCCAGCCCCUGGGAUCUCAG
rnacentral:lncRNA from 10 species